rnacentral:rRNA from 2 species
UACGUAGGGGGCGAGCGUUGUCCGGAGUUACUGGGCGUAAAGGGCAUGCAGGCGGUCAGGCGCGUUUUGUGUGACAGCGGAUGGCUUAACUGUCCGAGGAUGCGAAAGACGGCGUGACUUGAGAGCGCGAGAGGGACACGGAAUUCCGGGUGGAGUGGUGAAAUGCGUAGAGAUCCGGAGGAACACCGAAGGCGAAGGCAGUGUCCUGGCGCGUAUCUGACGCUGAGGUGCGAAAGCCAGGGGAGCGAACGGG